rnacentral:rRNA from 1 species
GACGAACGCUGGCGGCGUGCUUAACACAUGCAAGUCGAACGGAAAGGCCCUGCUUUUGUGGGGUGCUCGAGUGGCGAACGGGUGAGUAACACGUGAGUAACCUGCCCUUGACUUUGGGAUAACUUCAGGAAACUGGGGCUAAUACCGGAUAGGAGCUCCUGCUGCAUGGUGGGGGUUGGAAAGUUUCGGCGGUUGGGGAUGGACUCGCGGCUUAUCAGCUUUUUGGUGGGGUAGUGGCUUACCAAGGCUUUGACGGGUAGCCGGCAUGAGAGGGUGACCGGCAAAAUUGGGACUGAGAUACGGACCAGACUGCAACGGGAGGCAGCAGUGGGGAAUAUUGCAAAAUGGGAGGAAGCCUGAUGCAGCAACGCCGCGUGCGGGAUGACGGCCUACGGGUUGUAAACAGAAUACGCAUGUGAAGAAGAGUGAGUGACGGUAAUGGGUAAAGAAGCACCGGCUAACUACGUG